GGGGAAUAUUGCACAAUGGGGGAAACCCUGAUGCAGCGACGCCGCGUGAAGGAAGAAGGUUUUCGGAUCGUAAACUUCUAUCAGCAGGGAAGAAGAAAGUGACAGUACCUGACUAAGAAGCCCCGGCUAACUACGUGCCAGCAGCCGCGGUAAUACGUAGGGGGCAAGCGUUAUCCGGAAUCACUGGGUGUAAAGGGUGCGUAGGCGGUAGGGCAAGUCAGAUGUGAAAGCCCGGGGCUCAACUCCGGGACUGCAUUUGAAACUGUUCUACUAGAGUGCAGGAGAGGAAAGCGGAAUUCCUAGUGUAGCGGUGAAAUGCGUAGAUAUUAGGAAGAACACCAGUGGCGAAGGCGGCUUUCUGGACUGUAACUGACGCUGAGGCACGAAAGCGUGGGGAGCGAAC
rnacentral:rRNA from 1 species